rnacentral:lncRNA from 1 species
AGAGGCAAGCAAAAGACUAAAAGGAAGGGAUGAAGGAACCUUCUUGGAUACAUGCUUUAAUAGUUCUAAAAGAUCAGUCGUCUCCCAAAAGAUUGAUUCUUGGAUAGCUUGUUCGUGACUUCCCUAUAGGUUCUACAGAGGCAGGGGAAGGUUUGAUAAAGGAUAGUAGGUGUAGGUCUUUCCAGCCGGAUUCACUAAUGCAAUGGAACUCAAGAACUUGAACAACUGGCCUUGGAAUCGGUUUCCAAUAGAUAGACUAGAAAUGGUAUGCUGGCUAACUCAAGACAGUUUAUAGGCUUUCCCGAAUCGGAGGUCGUUUUCUUAGAAUGUAAGGUUCC